AAAGCCCCCCUUUUAUAUCAUAU
rnacentral:snRNA from 1 species